rnacentral:rRNA from 1 species
AAGUCUAAUCUGCCCACUGAUUUAUUAAAGGGCUGCAGUAAUUUGACUGUACAAAGGUAGCAUAAUCAUUAGCCUUUUAAUUGAAGGCUUGUAUGAAAGAUUUGAUGAAAUAUAAACUGUCUCUAAUUUAAAAUUAAAAUUUAAUUUUUUAGUUAAAAAGCUAAAAUAAUUUUAAAAGACGAGAAGACCCUAUAGAGUUUUAUAAUUAAUAAUUUUAAAUAAUUAUAUAAAAUUUUAAUAUUUAAUAUUAUUCAUUAUUUUAUUGGGGUGAUAAAAAAAUUUAAUUAACUUUUUUUCUUGUUUAUCAAAAAUAAAUGAUUAAUUGAUCCUGUUUAAAGAUUAAAAGAAAUAAUUACCUUAGGGAUAACAGCGUAAUAUUUUUUUUUAGUACAAAUAAAAAAAAAAGUUUGCGACCUCGAUGUUGGAUUAAGAUAAAAUUUAAAUGCAAAAGUUUAAAAUUUUGAUCUGUUCGAUCAUUAAAAUCUUACA